rnacentral:rRNA from 1 species
AGAGUUUGAUCAUGGCUCAGGACGAACGCUGGCGGCGUGCUUAACACAUGCAAGUCGAACGGGAAACUUAUUUCGGUAAGUUUCUAGUGGCGAACGGGUGAGUAACGCGUGGGUAACCUGCCCUCCAGAUGGGGACAACAUUCCGAAAGGGAUGCUAAUACCGAAUACGAUCCCUCCACCGCAUGGAGGAGGGAUGAAAGAUGGCCUCUGCCUGCAAGCUAUCGCUGGAAGAUGGACCCGCGUCUGAUUAGCUGGUUGGUGAGGUAACGGCCCACCAAGGCGAUGAUCAGUAGCCGGUCUGAGAGGAUGAACGGCCACAUUGGGACUGAGACACGGCCCAAACUCCUACGGGAGGCAGCAGUGGGGAAUCUUCCGCAAUGGGCGAAAGCCUGACGGAGCAACGCCGCGUGAGUGAUGAAGGUCUUCGGAUUGUAAAACUCUGUUGUCAGGGACGAAUGCAUCGAUUUACAAUACACUUUGAUGUUGACGGUACCUGACGAGGAAGCCACGGCUAACUACGUGCCAGCAGCCGCGGUAAUACGUAGGUGGCAAGCGUUGUCCGGAAUCAUUGGGCGUAAAGAGCAUGUAGGCGGGCUUUUAAGUCCGACGUGAAAAUGCGGGGCUUAACCCCGUAUUGCGUUGGAUACUGGGAGUCUUGAGUGCAGGAGAGGAAAGGGGAAUUCCCAGUGUAGCGGUGAAAUGCGUAGAUAUUGGGAGGAACACCAGUGGCGAAGGCGCCUUUCUGGACUGUGUCUGACGCUGAGAUGCGAAAGCCAGGGUAGCAAACGGGAUUAGAUACCCCGGUAGUCCUGGCCGUAAACGAUGGAUACUAGGUGUAGGAGGUAUCGACCCCUUCUGUGCCGGAGUUAACGCAAUAAGUAUCCCGCCUGGGGACUACGAUCGCAAGAUUGAAACUCAAAGGAAUUGACGGGGGCCCGCACAAGCGGUGGAGUAUGUGGUUUAAUUCGACGCAACGCGAAGAACCUUACCAAGGCUUGACAUUGAGUGAAAGACCUGGAGACAGGUCCCCCUCUUCGGAGGCACGAAAACAGGUGGUGCAUGGCUGUCGUCAGCUCGUGUCGUGAGAUGUUGGGUUAAGUCCCGCAACGAGCGCAACCCUUAUCCUAUGUUACCAGCACGUAAGGUGGGGACUCAUAGGAGACUGCCAGGGAUAACUUGGAGGAAGGCGGGGAUGACGUCAAGUCAUCAUGCCCCUUAUGUCUUGGGCUACACACGUACUACAAUGGUCGGCAACAAAGGGCAGCGAUACCGCGAGGUGGAGCAAAUCCCAUAAACCCGACCCCAGUUCGGAUCGCAGGCUGCAACCCGCCUGCGUGAAGUUGGAAUCGCUAGUAAUCGCAGGUCAGCAUACUGCGGUGAAUACGUUCCCGGGCCUUGUACACACCGCCCGUCACACCACGAAAGUUGGUAACACCCGAAGCCGGUGAGAUAACCUUUUAAGAGUCAGCUGUCUAAGGUGGGGCCGAUGAUUGGGGUGAUGACGUAACAAGGUAACCGUA